rnacentral:rRNA from 1 species
UACGUAGGGUGCGAGCGUUAAUCGGAAUUACUGGGCGUAAAGCGUGCGCAGGCGGUUUUGUAAGCCAGAUGUGAAAUCCCCGGGCUUAACCUGGGAAUGGCAUUUGGGACUGCAAGGCUGGAGUGUGGCAGAGGAGACCGGAAUUCCUGGUGUAGCAGUGAAAUGCGUAGAUAUCAGGAGGAACACCGGUGGCGAAGGCGGGUCUCUGGGCCGAUACUGACGCUGAGGAGCGAAAGCAUGGGUAGCGAACAGG